rnacentral:rRNA from 1 species
UACGUAGGUGCAAGCGUUGUCCGGAAUUAUUGGGCGUAAGAGCUCGUAGGCGGUCUGUCGCGUCUGCUGUGAAAAUCCAGGGCUCAACCCUGGACCUGCAGUGGGUACGGGCAGACUAGAGUGCGGUAGGGAGAUCGGAAUUCCGGGUGUAGCGGUGAAAUGCGCAGAUAUCAGGAGGAACACCGGUGGCGAAGGCGGAUCUCUGGGCCGUAACUGACGCUGAGGAGCGAAAGCAUGGGGAGCGAACAGG